AGCAGCCGCGGUAAUUCCAGCUCCAAUAGCGUAUAUUAAAGUUGUUGCAGUUAAAAAGCUCGUAGUUGAAUUUCGAGAUCAAAUUGUUGGUCGUGCCUCGGUACGUACUGGCAUUAUUGAUUUCUCCUUUCUGAAGAACCUUGAUGUCAUUAAUUUGGUGUCUUGGGGAAUCAGGACCGUUACUUUGAAAAAAUUAGAGUGUUUAAAGCAGGCUCACGCUUGAAUACAUUAGCAUGGAAUAAUGAAAUAGGACGUUUGAUUCUAUUUUGUUGGUUUCUAGGAUCGACGUAAUGAUUAAUAGGGAUAGUUGGGGGCAUUAGUAUUCAAUUGUCAGAGGUGAAAUUCUUGGAUUUAUUGAAGACUAACUACUGCGAAAGCAUUUGCCAAGGAUGUUUUCAUUAAUCAAGAACGAAAGUUAGGGGAUCGAAGACGAUCAGAUACCGUCGUAGUCUUAACCAUAAACUAUGCCGACUAGGGAUCGGAUGAUGUUAAUUUUUAAUGUACUCAUUCGGCGCCUUAA
rnacentral:rRNA from 1 species